rnacentral:misc_RNA from 1 species
GUGAAUCAUCAAAUUUUUGAACGCAAAUUGCACUCUCCUCGGAGAGUAUGCCUGUUUCAGGGUCAGCCUCUAAAAAUCGACAUCGUUGCUGUUUCCCGGUGGCGUUCGUCGGAAAUUGGGUUAUCUUAACUCCUUUUGAUCUAAGCGACUUAAAAUUUUCCUUUGGUUCCAUGAACGUUUCUAGUAUCUAUUUUUUCACACGUUCAU